GUAGGUCACACCGAGUGGCCCCUCCUCCUCAGACACAGGGCUGUGCCUGGGGAGGCCCAAGAAAGCCAAAGAAUAGGCCACGGGCUCAGAAGACAGGGUGAGAAACACUUAGUCAGCAUAAUCCCUGCCAAUCACACCAGGGCUUCCGGUAAUACCAAGAGGGGAGCGGGUGAGAAGGUGGAUUCUGAAUCUGACCACGUAACUCUGCACUGCCACGAAGGCCCCAGCUCAUGCCCCGCGCUCAGCAGAGAGUGGGCUUGGGCCUCAUCUUCCUGUAACCGGGGGCUGGGGACCACUUUGAUCUCACUGUUCCCCUUGCUGCUGUUCACACCAGUACGGCGCCUUCAAGAAGUUAUCCCAGGGCAAUUUUCCACCUUUGAAGUCCCCGGAAAACCCUGCCAAAAGCCGUUCUGGUGUGAGGAUGCUGCAGGGGCAGGCAGCCUGGUGCCGCGGCCUCCCGGGUGCCAGAACUGGAACAUCGAGACAUCAAAGGCGAAGGUGGCAGCAGGGCGAUGAGUAAGCUCCGCUGCAGGCUUGGCCUCGGCCCCAGAAGCCUUCUCCUCAUCUCCCAGUGGUGGCUGAGCAGGACUAGGGAGACGACCCAGAGAGCCUGGAGACCUGGCUUGGGGGAAGCCCUGUGGAUGCUUCUGGAGGCGGACACUUCCCUGCUGCUCUGUGCCUGGUAAAGGCACCGACCACUGCAGAGCAGAAGCAGAGUCCAAUCCUGGCUCCAAAGCGCCCCUGACUGCAAAGCUUUGGUACUGUUAUUACCACCGUGAAACAGGUGGGGAAACUGAAGCAUGAGGAGCUUGAGUAAUGUGUGUUAGAUCACGCAACCAGUAGUGGCAGAGCUGGAAUUCCGACCUGGGACUGCCUCCAAAGUUCUUGCGUAAGAAUACAGCUGCUACACUUGCCCUUCUUCAGCUGAGACCAAGGAGGGAAUUCUGAUUGAAAGCAAACCAGGGAGGAAAGAUGCACUAGCACUGACCUGUAACAGGUCAAUCUGUGCCAUGGCAUGGCGAGACGAAGUGGAGAACCCAUGUCUCAUUGGAAUCCCGGAUCAUCGUCUCCACGAAGGCUGUCUUCUGCAGCACUCCAGGGACUCACGGCUCUGGGCUUAUUGCUCAGUGUCAUGUGACAGAUGUUUUAGUGUUUAGUUGGAACCCUGGAUCUGCAGCAACCAUCUUGCUACCAACUUGAGGGUGAAGCCAGCCGUAAGAAUAGCAGGCCGGAAAGAUGGAAGAAACCUGGCUUUCCAAUGUCAUCAUUUGGUUGCUGAAUCAAUUGUACCUAAAGCUCACUCUAUCUGUUUUACCUUGAGUUAGGGUUGCCGUUGCUUGCAGCUAAACGCAUCUUCUUUUUUUUUUUUUUUUUUUUUUUUUUUGAGAAGGAGUCUUACUCUAUCACCCAGGUUGGAGUGCAGUGGCGCGAUCUCAACUCACUGCAACCUCCACCUCCCAGGUUCAAGUGAUUCUUGUGCCUCAGCCUCCCACGUAGCUAGGAUUACAGGCGUGAGCCACCACGCCCGGCUUAUUUUUGUAUUUUUGGUAGAGAAGGGGUUUCGCCAUGUUGCCCAGGCUGGUCUUUAACUUCUGGACCUUAGGUGAUCCACCCGCCUCAGCCUCCCAAAGUGCUGGAAUUACUGGCAAGAUCCACCACACCCAGUCUAAAUGCAUCUGAAUAUAACAUGACUCUCCUAGAGAAAAACCUGGAACCCAGAGCACCUGAAUAGAAACUCUUAAUUAUAUCAAUGAGGAAUAGUUAACUUAGCCAAGUUUCCAUUGAAUAUGAAGAACUGUAAAAUAAUGUCAGUUCUAGCCAAGAACUGAAAAGUAAUGUCAGUACUCUAUAAUGUGUAAUUCAUAGUUGCUACAUGUAAUCAGGCUUGGCCAAUUGUUUCCAGGAAGAUGGCACCCUCAUUUCUGAAUGAGGAUGACCAUUUUCCACUAAUCCAGAGGUAAAACAGUCAUUGUAACUGCACUGAAAUUUGCUGUAUCAAGUGAGACAUGAAGGUAAAUGUCAUUGGCCCAGAGUAAUUAGUCUUUUCCAGUGCUUAAAGGAAGGGAGAGAAACUAAUGCCUAUUGAGUGCCUUCAAAGCUUCUGCAAUGUGCUGGUACCCACAUGUUUCCAAUUAUUCCUCACAACACUAUGGAGAGGUUAUUUUGCCUGUUUUGCUGAUCAGGGAACUGAGACUCACAGAGUGACACCAACCCAUCAGUAUUUCAGGUUUCUGGGGAGGGUCCAGAGAGCAAGGGGGAAGCUGCUAAUUGCUUGUUGGUUCAAGAGAAAUGUUAUCUCAGUAGACUAACGUAUGGACUUUCUGAUGUCAGAAAAUGCAAACUAUGUAGUGUAACCUGUUUGCCAUUUUUUCUUUGUAUCCGCAAACUGACAGCAAAAUAUAUUGCACAAGUAUUAUAAAUCUGUUCAGUUCAAGUGCCAGAGAACAUUUACUCUGCUUCCUUCAUGAGUGGUGAGCAUGCCUGCUCCCCUACAAACUCACCAGCUCAGAGCAUUAUCAGGCUUCUCAUCUCUGCCAACCUGCCGCUGAGGUGGGGAUUAUUAGCACGCCCUUUGCAGAUGAGGAAACUGAAGCCCAGGGAGCUUUGGCAACCUGCCCAAGGUCACACAGCCAGUGAAGGAAAGGGCUGAAAUCAAACCAGGCCUGUCUGACUGCAAGGCAGGGUCUUACGGCUGCCUCCGGUGGGUAGGUCCGGGACCCAGCUGGUUUCCGUCCUGUGGCUCAGGUGCGAGGAGAGCCUCCCUGGGCCACCUGGGGAAGUCUGACUGACGUGCCAGAUCCUCACAGAACAAAGCACCCCCUCUCUCAGCACCAGGGAGCUCCUCCAGGAGCACUUCCUCCCAUGUCUGUGUUCGCCGUUAAGACUGGACACACCAGGAUGAUCUUUCAACUUUGGGUCCAAAGGCCCUCAGUGGAUGUAAAAUAGGUACAUGAGGCCUUGAACUGAACAUUUUUUUCACUUCACCAUAACCUGGAUUUUCCCAGUUUAGGAGCAUCUGUUUGUCUUGAUAACGUUUGGAACAAAGUGAAAAAAACUGGACUUUGAAGAGAACUUCAGGUGAAUUACACAUUUAAGUCAGAUUUUCCAUGUCUUUGUCCCAUGUUCAGUAAUUCAAGCUGUUAGGAGCCCUCAACUUUGUACAUAUAUUUCCUUCCUAUCUCUGCCUCUUCAUACCUGGUACUUACCGUGGAAUUUGAAAUCUUUCUGUGGCUGUAAGCAAGAAAGGCGGGAAAAAUACAAGAAGUUAAAGGGGAUUGGAUGGUUCAGAUUUGGUUGAUGAAUGAGAUGGUUUAGAGGCAUGUCUUGUAAGAGAUAAUUUUCUAUGUGCCAGGUACUAUUUAUGAAUCCCACAUUAUCUUAUUAAUGCUCACAACAAGCCUUGGGGGUAAAUAGAUUAUCAUCGCCAUUUCACAGAUUAGGAAAGUGAGGUUUCAGCAGUCAAUUGCUCAAAGGUCUCCUGCUAGUGAAACAGUCGUCUAUCCAAACAGUCUGAAUGACCUGUGCACAUGGGAACGUGCCACGCAAGCCAAGGGCAGGAAGGAUGAGAAGAGGUGGGCAGAAAGCCAGCUGGGAUGAAUGAAGGACCUACUACGUGCAGGCCCAGGGUCAGACAUUUUAUUUUCUUGAUUGCACUUCAGCCUCCCAGCAGCCCUGUUUUACAGAUGAAGAAACUGAGGCUCAAAGAGCUGGAGAAAGUUGUUGCCCAGGGUCCUGUGGAGAGAAAACUCAAGCUCCGGCUGUUCCACUACUCUGGGACACCACCCCCAGUGGGAACCCCACUUUUACAAGGAUUCGAAGCUUUACUCCAUUCUUUGCCACACAUAAGGAGGCCGAGGAGGGAAGAUGGCAUGAGGCCAGGAAUUCAAGGCUGCAGUGAGAUAUGAUUGCACCACUACACUUCAGCCUGGGCGACAGGGUGACACCUCAUCUCUAAAAAAUAAAAUAAAAUAAUAAAAAAAUUUUGGAAAUUUUUAAAGCGUCUGCUCCACAGAGCCACAUUUUGCAUUGUGCAGUUUCGUUUUUCAGACCUUUCUCCUCUCUUCCAUCUGACUGCCCUGAGAUCCAGCACUUUUUGCUUCCACAUCUGAGGCUGUCGCUGGAAACAAGGUCUCCAUCCCAUUUGCAUGACAUGAGCACAGUCGGGAUUUGUAUUCAUUCUGUGGGUGUGUGUAUAUUCGUGCUCUCCACAAAAGAACCACUCAGCAUUGCUUUUUCAAGCCGAGCUUUAAAAGGCUUAUUUGCCAUGACAUCCAGCACUUGUAAUUUGAGGUCAUACCCCGAGGAAGAAUUGCUAAAUCUGUGUAAAAUGUUUCUGACUCCUUUUCUUACAGAUUCUGUCAGAUUAUCUCUUUAAGAAUUCUAAGCCCAUGUUGUUUGAGGUGGUUUUAGGCUAAUGUACAUUCCCCAAACAUUUCUUUGCUGUUCAAAAUAAAGCAAUUGAGAGGGUUCUUCGUAAAAACGAAGCACUUUGCAAGAGCUCAAGACAAAAGACAACUCCCUUUUUUCUAGGGGGUAAUUUUGAGGAUAGAAGAAAAACAGUGUUCUAUGUAAGCCUGUACAAUCACGAGAGCCAUUUGCUGAGGGCCAUGUGUGCGAGUGGUUCGUGUGCUCUCCACCUCCUCUUCUUCCUCCCAGGGGAUGAAAUGAGGCCCAACAAGUGCAAGACAUGGACCAUGUCAGCUCGUGACAGAACAGGGCUGGAACCCAAGUCUGCUAGGCUCAGCCCACUCCCUCCCUGUGCCGAGUUGACAUAUUCUACUUACAUUAAGCCAAGUGCUGGGCUCUGAUUAUACAAAAUCAGAUAAGCCAGGACCCUGUGUUCAAGGAGCUCCCAGGCCUGCUGGGGUGAGAGUGGAGCAGCAAGGAUGGAAGUGCACAGAUGCAAGGGUGGCCAGGCCUAUGGGGAUACAGGCAAGGGAGGCUGAGUGUU
rnacentral:lncRNA from 1 species